AGCUGAGGGAUGUUUCUAGAGAAAUGUAACCAGUAACCACUCAAAUUCAUUGACAGCUAUGGAUGCAAGGACUUACUUACCAUACACAUUAUACAAAUUAUAGUAUAUACCAUGUUAUGAGGCUAUACAGUGUUUGUUUACAAUUGCAUUGUUUGCAAACAUUGGAGUAAAACACGAUAAUAUCUUGGUUUCUGACAGGGUACGACUGUUCAUGAGGCAUUUAUAAGUUAAAUUCUUCAAAAAAUCUAUGGGUUAUAUUGUAGCGAUGAUCGAUAUACAAUUCCCACAACUGGGGUAACCCUAUUCGUGCGAUGCGUAGGGUUUUUGCCUUUCACACCAGUGAUCCGGGUUUGCUUCCCUGCCGUUUGCCCGUUUCCUACAAUAUCAUGAAUUUAAAAGUCCAAAACGGGAAGUUGCAAAUGCAUAUUGCCCCCUUUAAAAGCCACAUUUACAGUCUUUAUGCUAUUAAAUAAAAUACAUGCAUACAGAAAGCAUCUGUAUUGAUAGUAAAUUUGACAACAGUUCUGUAGAAAAAAAUGCAUACAUUUUAGCAAUCACUAAAAUAUCAAAAUAAUAAUGUAUUAUAUCAAUGCUUGUAAGAGUUGUUUUAGGUUCUGUGAACUAGGCCUAGACACAGUGCACUAUCUGAUAGGUCUAUAUCCAAUUAAUUUCCUUUGCAUCAGGUCAACAUUAAGGGUUAAUUUAUCUCUUGGUUCAUUAUACAGCUGAAGGUUCCAUUUUUGGAAGAAAGGAUGUUAUUGUUGAGAGUAGGUUAAAGGUGACAAGAUAUUUGUAAACAGAAGCAAACAAUUGCUCCACAUUGUGAUGCCCUGAUAUGAAAACAUCCUAUAAAAUCUUCCUUGGCACAAUGUUAAGGACGGGUCAAAGUACGUUGGUAACCUUAGGGGAAGAGAACAUAACAUUUGUGUUUUAUAAUUCCGUUUACAAGUUCCCUUUAAAGUGUCAUUCUGAGCCUCUCGGUUCAACCAAGGGUCAUAUUCACCAGGCACCAAAUAGAAAGUAAAAUGGAAUGAAACAGGGACUACCUGAACUUGUCCACUAAGAAACCAUUGUUUUCAUUUUCCUUUCCAAAACGUUUUGCAAUAGGGUGCACUAAUAAAUUGGACCCAAGAGUCAGCUGACAACAGGUGCACUCACAGCAGAACUGUCCAGUACUGGCCCACAUCUGUUAGGCACACCCAGGAUAAGCCACAACAUGUUAGUCACCACUGCUGUAGCUAUUAUGGCCAGGGUUAUAAGGACACUCAGGAAAUUACCUUCAAAUCAGUUCUGAAUCUGAUGCAGGACUUUGACACAUAUUAGACAUUGUUUGUUAACCCAUGAAAGUUAGCACAAAGUACCUUAAAAUUAACCUCCAGAAAGGUCAAACUCAAUAUAGUAAGGUCAACUGAUGCUCUGUAAUGUUCAUUAUAGGGACAACAAUUAUUCCUCAAAUGCACCUGCAUUUCUCAGAAACACUAGCCAAUGUUGCACAAUCAAUCUAGCUUUAUAAAUUGUCGUUUGUCACUUCAUCAAUUGACGUAUGUUUCAAUCACAGGUGAACUGUUGACAGAUGUUCCUGUCCUGUGUUCUAAUUCUAAUUAUGAACUCUGAUUAUACUUUGAGCAAACCAAUACAUUUUUAUGACUGGUUUAUGUAAGUGUGCAAGCUCUCUCCCAAUCCAAAAAAAGAUCAAUCAAAUAACAUGUUGUGUCCUAAGCCAGCAUAGUAUUGAUUGCAGGUGUGGUGUACACUUAACAUAACUGUACACAUAGUGUCACCUAUCACACACUUUAUGGACUGUUGCUUGCUGCUGUGCAAAGUGCACUGGGCCAAUGAACUUUCAAAUGGAGGCCAAGAGAAUAUCCCUAAUUGAUAUGUUCUAUUAUUAUAAGGAUAUAACUGUCUAGUAUUUUAUGCAUCAAUACUUCAGAUAUUUAUGAGGAUAUUUUUAUUCCACAAAAUAGUAUAGUGUUAGUAUCUCUGGUCCUUAUGAACCUUAACUUGGGUCUUUGGGCACCCAUUGUCAGUGAGGGCCAAGGGAAUCUCAAAAAUGCAUUUUUGGAUGCAUGCUUUUUUUCUAGGCCCACCCCACAAAUGACCAAUUAUAUAAUAUGUAUUUCUAAAAAUAGAAUAUACUGUAUGUAUGUAGCCUAAGCAAUAGCUUUAGGAUGUGGUGAGUCAGUGGUCUGCUCUAUUCACAAACAACAAUAUUUUGCUAUGGUAACCGUUGACUGAAGUUCACUGUACAAAUGGAAUAACAAUAGCACAAUCUGAUUACAUGCAAAUAAGGACAUAUCACUGUGUUCCUUCCAAGGGAAUUAGCCUACAAUGAUAAACAGCUGCCUAUCUGAUUUCAGUUCAAUCUGUAAGGACGUAUCUAACAUAGGUUUGAAAAUGACUGUAAAAACAGCAGGUGAUGGGAGGUGGGACUAGCACAGGGGGUAUCCACAACUUACAUCACCAUCAUUAAGGCUAUAUAAUGGAGUGAACUUCUAACAUUAGCAGAAGACUCACUGACUGACAAGCCAUACACAGCUGAACACAUUUGCAUACUGUCUACUCUGUACCACAAGUACAAACAGAACUCUUGAAGAACACAACAAAGAAACAGAAAGCAAGCUCAAAUCAAUAUGACUGGACAAGAUCUAACUGCCAUUCUGGACUGUGCGCAUCAGCUGCGUAAAGUUGGAGACGUCCUUGCUAGUGACACCCUGGACUGGAGAUCCAAAUUAUUGGAAAUAUUGACAAAACAUUACAAGAAUAUAAUCAAAGUCAAGUGAGGGAGUUCAACCCACUCAGUGAAGAUCACAUUCUAUCUCAGUCCGCGGUUUUGGUAGCUGUGCAGCAGUCCCGCCUGGUCGUUCAGAGGUGCAUUUGUGGCCACCUGAGAUGAAAUCAAGAGGACAGUCUGCCUGGACCUGCCCCACAAUCCAAUGGCAAAGUGUCCAGUGCUCACCUCCCCACCAUGUCAAUGGAGAGUGAAAAGGAUCAGUAACAUUGUGCAAUGGCAAAACCAAUGGACCUCUGCUGGUUUGUCGUUGGGACAUUUGGUAGCCCGAUGGGCAGCCAUUCACAUGGACGUCAAACGCGAACAUGGGAACCAGAGCUGACAGGAACGAUCCUACAAGAAAGUACGAUGACAAAGGAGGAUUAUCAGUUGUUGGGGAAAUGUUUUGGAUUAUGGAAACAUGACUUUGAAGUGCUCUGAUGCCUUAUGUGAGGCUUACAUUCAUUUUGUUUUAAUGAAUUGUGCCAAGAGCGAUUAAACGUUUUCAAAAUCUGCAA